rnacentral:tRNA from 1 species
GCCCUCUUGGCUCAGUUGGCUAGAGCGCAGGUCUCAUACGGCGGUAUGAGGGGCAAUUUGCCCUGCAAUCCUGAGGUCGCAAGUUCGAGCCUUGCAGAGGGCA